ensembl:lncRNA
GCGCUGGGGUUUUUUUUUUGUCCGACUGCACCCAAUGAUGUCAUCUAGGCUACGUCAACCGCAAACGUCACCAAACACACCAGAGCUGGCCUGCUUUCACUGCGCACUCGUCUUAAUGAAAAAGCUUCCUCAUCCAAUGCUGUGUUCACUCUCCAUCACCAGUUCCACCUGAUCUUCUCCAUUCUCCAAGACGUCAUGAGACUGGCACUGAUUUCUCAUAAACAUGUAAUAUACUGUGGGUGUAUAGAUUGAUGUUAUUGUGAGAAGUUAUUGCUUUCGCAUGAUAUGAGCAUCCACAGGCAUGUUUUGCUUAUGUGUGUGUGUGUGUGUGUGCGUGUGUGUGUGUGUGUGUGUUACACUGCAGUGCUGUUGUACCCUGCAGAAUCCAGCCCCAUAUACCGUGCUGCAUUUACCACAGCAUAGCAAUGACGUAAUCACCCUCCUCAUCCUCAGCUACUGAUGAAGGUGGCAGCAAGGAUGAGCUUGACUGACAGAUAAGCCCCGCCCAAUCAGUCCAAUCCGUCUUUCCUUCAUUUCACUACCCUCGAGUGAAAGGAGGUAAAAAAAAUAUGAAUGAAUCAGCAGCCAUUCUUAAUCUCACCUCUCUCUCUCUAUCUCUCAUUCACUCUUAUUUUUUCACUCUCCUUUUUCACCCCCUCCUUUCCAUUCUCUCUCUCUCUCUCUCUCGCUCUCCUUCUCCAUUAGCUCAUUGUAUAUGAGACAAAGAGAGAGAGAGAUAGAGAGCGCGAGAUAGAUGUGGGGACUGUUGCUGUGCAGAUUAUGGGCUGUAAUCCUCAGGCAGGGUGAGUGUGAAUGACAGAGAUCUGCUUCCAUUUCUGAAAAGUAGGCCGGAUGUUUCGGCUUUGCAUAUAUCAUGGAAACAGCGGACACCAAUACCUUCAGCAUCCCUCCUUCCCUCCAUCCCUCUUUCCUUGCAUCCCUUUGUCAGGGAGAGAAGUUACCAAGUGAAGGCUGUCGAGCGGUUUCAUUCAGCCUCUCUUUCUCAGAAUCCAUUGAGAAAAAGUGUCAGCCAGAAGGGGAGGGUUGUGCUGCAGUGUGUGUGUGCAUGCAUGUGUGUGUGUGUAGGAAAAUGUAUGAGUGAAGGACAGAGCAAAAGAUUACGAGUGUGCAGUCACACCCUAUGAACAUUAUGAGGUCACUCUGCAUCAAAGCACAUUUUAAUGUCACAUUCUAGGACAUUUAAGAUGUUUAAAGCUGAGCUGCUAAAAUAAUAAUAAUAAUAAUAAUAAUAAUAAUAAUAAUAAUAAUAAUAAUAAUAAUUCAUUUUAUUCAGUCUAUAACACUUGUAAUAUUUAUAUAAACACAUACAGUGAGGCCCAAAGGUCUGAUACCACCACAAGUCUGUUAUUUUGCAUUCUUUUCCAAUUUAAUACAAAACGGAUUCCAGAUUAUCCGUGUCAGAGAAAAUCCAUCAGAGUGCAAUCUGAGCUCUGAGCACGUGCUUCAGUAGAAGGGAUAAGUCUCAACGAAAACCUCACCAAACAGUUAGUCAGUGAUCUAGAAAUAGUGCAAAAUCAUUCAUAUUAAAUAUGAACAGUUGCUUUCGUUGUUUGGAUUUAUUUAUUUAUAUUUUAGGAACAAUAUCAAGUUUUUAUUGAAAAAAAAAAAAGCAAUCCAUAGAUUUUCAGAUUGUUGUCAGAGUCUUGGAGAGAAAUAAGCAUGGCAGUGCAGUUUUGGAGGUGCAUAUGUGUCGACACAGUUGCUCAUCUCGCCCUCUUGACCUGCCUUAUCCAUCCUGAUGCCCUGUUUCUGCUCGGUGCUUCUGCACUUGUGUCUCUCUUUCUCUUUCUGCUGUGGUGACUGUUCCCGAAACACCUUUCACCCUUGCUUCAGUGUUCUAUCUCACAAGCAUACUGUAGAUUUGUACCAAAGAGCUGCUUCUGUCAUCUUAAAGCUUGUCCUGUGAUCAUCUUUGACAAUCUGCUCGUACAUCUUUUCAGCACACUCAGUAUUGUUUCUCUUUACUCUUCUACACCUGCAUACCAUAGUGAUCUAUAAUCCCACUAUCCAGUGUCACUUAGAUUUGACAGAUUUUCCUUGUUGUCAUGGUCUGCUCUUGUUUAUUUAUUAAAUCUAAAUUUCCAUUAAGAUUUCUGUCAAGCUAACUUUGUGACUGUGUAUUAUUAAAAGCAGUUUACAAAUAAAACUGAAUUGAAUUAAUAAACUAAUGAUGGUCUUAGGCAGGCCUCGCACCUCCAGGGUUGGGGGUUCGAAUCCCACCUCUGCCCUGUGUGUGCGCGGAGUUUGCAUGUUGGUAAAUGGUCUGCACAUAUAUAGCACUUUUUUAACCUUUGGGGUUCAUUAACCAACGGUUUACACUGCUUCUCAUUCAUCCAUUCACACACACACACCAUCGCAGAGCUGCCAUGCAAGGCACUAACUUUGCCAUCGGGAGCAACUUGGGCUUCAGUAUCUUGCGCAAGGACACUUUGGCAUGUGGAGUCACGUGGGCCGGGAAUCGAAUUGCCAACAAUAUGAUUAGUGGACAACCCACUCUACCCCCUGAGCCACAGCUCAGUUCUCCCAGUGCUGUGGGCAUUUCCUCCGACUACUCCCGUUUCCUCCCCCAGAGCAAAGAUAUACGUUGUAGGCUGAUUGGCAUCUCAAAACUGUCCAUAGUGUGUGAAUGUAUGCAGGAUUGUGCCCUGCAAUGAAUUGGCACCCCAUCACCCAGGGUGUUUCCCAACUUGUGCCCCGAGUUCCCUGGGAUAGGCUCCAGGCUCUCCUGUGUAGGAUAAGUGGUAUGAAAAAUGGAUGGAUGGAUGAUGGUCCUCAGUCUUGAUGAUGGAAAAGCAUUGGUUUCAAAUGGACCAGAAUUGAUACAAUAAUAUAAUUUGCCAUUGCCAUAGUUUUUACUUCUUGUACCUUCUACCAAAGAAUAUAUACGAUCUGUCUUUAAACAUGUAUAAAGACUUUACAAAGAAAAAUAAAGCCAGAAAGGAAGUAGCAGAGAUUGCUGGUGCGUCUGGUGAGUUUACGUAGGUAGUACAAUUUGCUUGCUUUGCGAAUCUAAUUUGAGAACGAAGCUCGUACGACGCAGAGCAUGUAAUAAGUAAAAAUCCAACAAACGAUUUCCACACUAAUUAGUGUGUUAUUUAAUGUUAAUUUGUUUUUAUUUGUGUUUAGAUAGAUGUACAAGGCCUCACCCACAAGUGACAUCAGGAUAGGUUGCUACACAGCCAAAAGCAACACAAGUGUAGGUAUUUGGGCUCAAACUUGAUUGAGAGCAGAACAGUGAGAGCAGUGUGAUGCUGCCAUCUGCUGGUCAAGGGAAACUGUCAUUUUCUGAAGUCUCACAGCUCGAAAAUAAAAAUGGUGUACGAAGUCUCAGAUUCCAGUAGGUGGCGGUAAUGUACCUUUAGUGGUUUGCCAACCGCCAUUAAAACAAAAAGAAGAAGAAGAAGAAGAAGUCACUGAAACUCAUUAUGGAUCAGUUGGUCUGCACGCUGCACGGGGGAGACUUACUCAUUACGUGCACUGUGCACGCUACCGUCUAGUGUGUGGAUUUUAGAAAGGUACCAUCAGACGGAGGCGAAAACGUCACGUGACUGAGGAAGAAAGUCCUCUAAGGCUUAAUACAGACAGCUGGGACCAAUCAUGACGCACCCUCGAACAUCGACCAAUACCCGAGCUGGAAGUGAACAAAACCAAAACAAAAGACGUGUGUCCAUAGGAAACAGUCUUAGCGUCCAUGCGCUCUUCGAGCACGUGCACGUUGUCUCCACAGUGACCUCUUCCGGCGAGAUCGUGACACCUACGAUUCUGCUUAAAGUACCAUGACAGAAACAUGUGUGAUUAAGUGAACAAAUUAAUAUGACACAUAAAAAUUAAACAUUUUAAAGUAGAAUUUUUUGGUGUGGUUAUACAAUGCAGGUAUGUAGUCAUGUCAACGGAAAUUGAGUUAUCAGUGUCCCAAUGUGUAGUGAGCUGGGGUCCUUUCCAGUACCCCAACUUGUGUACACUAUAUACGGAUACACAACAUACGGAGAUAUGGAAUGCAUGUAACAGCGUUACGUAAUCAGGAUACAAAAAAAAACUGUUAACUGUAAUCUGUUACAGUUACGUCAAAAAACUAAAUUACUCGGAUUAUUGGUACAUUUAGUAAAAAAUGGGAAUGCUAACAGGAUUCAUUUUCUUUUCAUUUAAAGCCAAAGAAAUUAAUCUUUUGACAUAACAGAAUAUAGACAGCUGCUUGAUUAUAGUUCUGGUUAUCUCUUGCCAGUCGUGGCUCACAUGAGCAACCUCCUGGUGCAUGCGCAAAUAAAUUUGAAAUCCUGAAAAGGAUAAGCGGUAUGGAAGAUGGAUGGAUGGAUGGAUGUUCUCUGAAAUGCUUUUGUUAGGCUGACCUUACGUCCUCUUUUUCGGACCUUACAAAAACCUCCAAAGCAAUUUGAGAAAAUGUCCAGGAUUUGGCUUUAGUUUCAUUAUGAUGUGCUUAUGGUCUACUGCUGCAUCAUCCAUUCAUCCAGCUUCUACCGCUUACUCCUUCUUCAGGGUCACGGGGGAACCUGGAGCCUAUCCCAGGGAGAAUCGGACACAAAGCAGGGUACACCCUGGACAGGGUGCCAAUCCAACACUCACAUACACAUUCAUACACUAUGGACACUUUUGGACAUGCCAUUCAGCAUGUCUUUGGACUGGGGGAGGAAACCGGAGGAAACCCCCACAGCACGGGCAGAACAUGCAAACUCCACACACACAGGGCCACGGUGGGAAUCGAACCCCCAACCCUGGAGGUGUGAGGCAAACGUGCUAACCACUAAGCUAACUUUUGUGAUGUAAUGUUACUGCAUCAGG